UACGUAGGGACCAAGCGUUGUUCGGAUUUACUGGGCGUAAAGGGCGCGUAGGCGGCAAUUCAAGUCAUCUGUGAAAUCUCCGGGCUUAACUCGGAACGGUCAGAUGAUACUGCUUUGCUAGAGUGCGGAAGGGGCAAUCGGAAUUCUCGGUGUAGCGGUGAAAAUGCGUAGAUAUCGAGAGGAACACCUGAGGUGAAGACGGGUUGCUGGGCCGACACUGACGCUGAGUGCGCGAAAGCCAGGGGAGCAAACGGG
rnacentral:rRNA from 1 species